GACGGGGAGCACCACAACAGGUGGAGCCUGCGGUUUAAUCGGACUCAACGCCGGGAAACUCACCAGAUAAGACAGCUGAAUGAUAGUCGGGCUGAAGACUCUACUUGACUAGCUGAGAGGAGGUGCAUGGCCGUCGUCAGUUCGUACUGUGAAGCAUCCUGUUAAGUCAGGCAACGAGCGAGACCCACGCCAACAGUUGCCAGCUCGUCCUCCGGGAUGGUGGGGACACUGUUGGGACCGCCUCUGCUAAAGAGGAGGAAGGAAUGGGCAACGGUAGGUCGGCAUGCCCCGAAUUAUCUGGGCUACACGCGGGCUACAAUGGGUGGGACAAUGGGUAUCGACACCGAAAGGUGAAGGCAAUCUCCUAAACCCAUCCGUAGUUCGGAUUGUGGGCUGCAACUCGCCCACAUGAAGCUGGAAUCUGUAGUAAUCGUGUCUCAAAAUGGCACGGUGAAUAUGUCCCUGCUCCUU
rnacentral:rRNA from 1 species